CCUACGGGAGGCAGCCGUGAGGAAUAUUGGUCAAUGGCCGUAAGGCUGAACCAGCCAAGUCGCGUUAAGGAAGAAGGAUCUAUGGUUUGUAAACUUCUUUUAUAGGGGAAUAAAGGUAUCCACGUGUGGAUAUUUGCAUGUACCCUAUGAAUAAGCAUCGGCUCACUCCGUGCCAGCAGCCGCGGUAAUACGGAGGAUGCGACGGUUAUCUGGAUUUAUGGGGUUUAAAGGGUGCGUAGGUUGUUUUUUAAGUCAGCGGUGAAAGUUUGUGGCUCAACCAUAAAAUUGCCGUUGAAACUGGAAGACGUGAGUGUGUUUGAGGUAGGCGGAAUGCGUGGUGUAGCGGUGAAAUGCAUAGAUAUCACGCAGAACUCCGAUUGCGAAGGCAGCUUACUAAGCCAUAACUGACACUGAAGCACGAAAGCGUGGGGAUCAAACAGGAUUAGAUACCCCUGUAGUC
rnacentral:rRNA from 1 species